CCCCUAGACGUUCUGGGCUGCACGCGCGCUACAAUAAUACGCACAGCGAGUAUCACCGAGCUCGAAAGGGCAAGGUAAACAAUAGAAAAGGUACUGUAAUGGUUAUAGAUCCUUGUAAUUAUUGAUCUUCAACGAGGAAUUCCUAGUAAGUAUGUGUCAUCAUCACGCACUGAUUACGUCCCUGCCCUUUGUACACACCACCCGUCGCUCCUACCGAUUGGGUGAGCCGAUGAAACUCUCGGAUGUAGGCUAUUCAUAGCCCGCAGAAGAGAUUUGAAUCGUAGCGCUUAGAGGAAGGAGAAGUCGUAACA
rnacentral:rRNA from 1 species